CGGCGAAUCGUAGGGGGCGUUAGAAGGGAGGCCUGCUGCUUCUGCGGUGCAGAAACGUUUGACAUCGAUAAAUGCGUGAGAGUGCUCGCGAAGUGCGGAGGUACCAGGCCGUAAUUCGUUCGUCGGCUCCUCGUCGUCGUCGUCGUCGUCGUCGUCGUCGUCGUGGUGGUUGUGGUUGUGGUCCUGGUUGUCCUCGUAAUCCUCGUCGUAGUAAUCGUCGAGGACUCGUACUGGCAGUAAAUGCGGUGACGAGGGUUCGUGAAAGCAAUAGAAGAAAAAGAAGAGGAGGAGGAGGAGGAAGAAGCGGCUGUUGUGGAGGAAGUAGAGGUGAAGAAGAAGAAGCGGCGGCACAACAGGAAUCAAGAAGAAGGAGAACCACUAUUACGAGGGUUAUAGAAGGAGUGAAAGAGACAGAGAAAAAGUAGGAGAGGACGGUGCAGAAGAGCCAUCAUCGGUGGUGUUGUGUAGUGGCGUGGGUAGUAACCGAAACGAAAGGGUGAAGGAAGAAGAGGAAGAGCAGGAGGAGCAGCAGGUACUCUGCUGGAGAAGAACUUUAUAGCUUGCUCACGAAAGAGAACGUGACUCUUUGGGGAGAAAAGAGGGAAAAACAAGAAGAACAACAAAACGAAAGAAGGGAGAGGAAAGAGAAGAGAUAGAAAUAGAGAAGACAAAAGAGUAGUCGUUGAAUCCUAUAGGUCGCGUGGUGAAUUGUGUUGAACGACGACGUUCGAAAGAACCGCGAAAAUAGAAAGAGGAGGAGGAGGAGGUGGAGGAGGAAGGAGGAAGAAGAGAAGAAGGAGGAGAAUAAUAAUAAUAAUAAUAAGAAUAAGAAACUCUGUAGAUAUAGGAUAAUAUAAGAGGAAAAGGAUUCGAUGCUCGUGGCGUGAUCGCGAGUAAA